CCUACGGGUGGCAGCAGUGGGGAAUAUUGCACAAUGGGGGAAACCCUGAUGCAGCGACGCCGCGUGAGUGAAGAAGUAAUUCGUUACGUAAAGCUCUAUCAGCAGGGAAGAAAAUGACGGUACCUGAGUAAGAAGCCCCGGCUAACUACGUGCCAGCAGCCGCGGUAAUACGUAGGGGGCAAGCGUUAUCCGGAUUUACUGGGUGGAAAGGGAGCGUAGACGGUGCGCCAAGUCUGGAGGGAAAUGCCGCAGCUUAACUGCGGAACUGCUUUGGAAAAUUGCGAACUAGAGUGCGGGAGGGGUAAGCGGAAUUCCGCGUGUAGCGGUGAAAUGCGUAGUGAUUAGGAGGAACACCGGUGGCGAAGGCGGCUUACUGGACCGUAACUGACGUUGAGGCUCGAAAGCGUGGGGAGCAAACAGGAUUAGAUACCCGGGUAGUC
rnacentral:rRNA from 1 species